CGCAGGUAAGUCGGGCCGGUUCUGCCCAUUUGGUCGGGCUAAUCCAUUUCCUUCUUUUCUUUUCUUUUUUGUUCUUUACUUUUUUUCCUUUUUCUUUUUCUGUUUCUUUUAUAACUUUUGAUUUUUGUCGUAGCGCUGGGCUCCGACACCGGGGAUGCGCGGGCACCCCCUUUCAGGUUCGGCAGUGGGCGGCGGGGAUCUCUUCGGCGAUCGCCGGCGGGGCCAACGUCAGGCGUUGGAGGACAGUGUACACAGGAACGCUUUUACCUAGGUUCGGGCCAGCCUGAGGUGUAAAACCCUACAUCCUGCCUCUGAGUUUGUUAUUAGCCAAUGAACUAGGGUUAACAGGUUACCGGGGGGAGUUCCCGGGUACUCUCUCUUUCUAGCCUCAGUGCUACUUGCUACUUCUCGCUACUACUAGUAGUGGACUGAGAACCGAUCCAAUCCCUUGACCGUUGGCGAGGGUCCUCCUUUUAUACCGAAGGGGAUACCACAGGUGCCUUGGUGCAUGGGCUCCAAAUGGCGAACGGAGAACUAGGGCAGCUCGGCCCCGCUGCGCUGGCUUGCAUGCAGGAUGAGUAGCUCUGCACCUAGGGGUCCAGGUGCCUAAAAUUUACCCCGGGCCAGUCACUGUAGGCUGACUGGAUGGGGAAUCCCCUUUCUGUCGGUGCAUUUAAUGCUCGCGUGGGAUUCACUCCUUGUCCUGACGAGCCCUGCGCACAGGGAACCCGCCGAGUGGCCACGUGGCGUCGCUGUCCCGCCCGCUCGGUCCCGCUCUUGUAACGGGCAAUUGCGCCCGGGAACGCCCUUCCCGGCAAGUAACCUCCUGGGAAGCGCCCAGGCGGGAAUUCUCUUGCUGCCCUCCAGGGCAACCCCCGCAGCCCCUGAUCGUGCGGAUGAGUAGCCCUGGCAACACAGUUAGACUUUGGGUGGCUCUGUCUCGCACGGGUAGGCUUUAUGUGGGUACAAAUAUGGUAGUUUGUGUACGUGAAGUUGAUUCACCCAUUACCUUCCCAUGUGGACUCCCUCUUAAUAGUACGGAGUUCCUACGACUCAAUAUAAAUAAAAAGCCGCUAAACACCGCUACGCUUGUUUCCUUUUUGAGGGCAACGAACCGUCUUGUGCCAUAUGAUCUCAAAUCUGAAACACUCGAGCACACGGUUAGUCCACGAGUCAUUUUGUCAUUAACACCAAAACACUUAGGGAUCGAAAUGCCCUUUCAGAGAGUGGAGGAGAGUCGGAGCUCAGCUGGCCCGACCUCGAGUCCCCCGGUGAUGAGGCGGGUCAAGUUGCUGGGACCCAAGCGGUCCUCCCCGCGGCGGAGGAGGAGGAGGAGGACGACGCGCCCCUGAUCGUGCGGAGGUCAAGGGCGCCCGUAGCCGCGGCCACCUCCGAAGUGGCCGCUAGCGCCGCGGCGGCUUCCACGGCGACCGUGGGCACGGCAACCCCACGGGCGCCCACGGCCCCGCCCAAGCGGGGGCUCUUCCAGGGCUUCGAGUUCAAGCUCAACCCCCCAAAGGACGGCACCCCGAUGGGAGCCGGCAAGAGGGGGACAGCCGACUUGCCACCCGCUGCGCCGAGCAAGAAACUGCGCACUCGGGCCAACACCAGCGCCGACCCGGCCGGCGCGGGGGGCGGUGGCGCCACAACUGCGCCUGCCGCCGACCCAAUCCCAGUGGAGGAGGAUCCGGCAACUGGUACUGACCCUUCCCCUGGUUCCAUCGUUUAGGCUUUUCCUGCCUGUUGAUCCGCAGCCGUGCUGCUUUUUAAUUCACAUGUGAAGUCCAACCCGCGGCGGGCGGCCCGGAAACAGCGGCUGGGACGGAGCAGGAGGAAGCUCCUCCCGCAAGCCCGACGGCCCCGCAAGGUACUCAUCCCGAGCUUCCUCGCGUUCAUCGCCGGGUAACUUAGUUUAUUCUUGAUUCUAAUUCCUUUCUUUGCCCCAGACCCGACUGCGCCCACGACGGGAGCGGGUGUUGUGGUGGUCAACCUCGGCUCCAACGUCGAAGACGCGGAGACGAGGGAGGAGCCGGAGGCGGCUCCCGCGCCAAGCUCCACCGUGCCGGGCGCAAUGGUGGGGGCACCCACCCUCGCUCCCGAGGCGGAGCUCGGCAGCGCGUCCCCGGCCACGUAGGCUGAUGGCGCGGAUCCUGCAGCCACCCAGCAGGAGGCGUCUCGUGCCGAGGGCGCAGCGACUCCUCCAGUCCCGGCCCCCACGGGUGCGGGUGCGGGGGAGGCCGCGGCAGUGGAGCAACAGGAGGCUCCGCCGCAAGUAGACGAUGCCCCGCCCGGCCAAACAGUGGCGGUGGGGGCCUCGUCGUUGUCUGCCACAACCUCCGGCGCGGACCUUGGCAUCCUUGCCGGGGUGACUUGGGAUCCAAUCACCUGGGACCCAAGCAUCUUCGACCAGGGGCACCAGUUCCUUGACGCCAUCAAGGAGCAACAACUUGCGUUCGUCACCUCCUUCAACCAGGUGAAGGAGCGUCACGAGCUCGUGAAGGGCCAACUCGGCGAGGUGCGGCAAGCCGUUGAGAGGGAGCGGCAGGAGCUCUCCCGGCUACGGGAGGAGACGCGCCUGGCCCGGCAGGCCAGGGAUGAAGCCGCAGCACCGAUCGUCCCCGAGGCGGAGCUCCACCGGCAACUGGAGGCCUAGCGCACCGAACACCAGCGGGCCCUGGACUUGCUGGCGGCGGCGCAGGAGAAAGCCAACAAGGAGCACGGGGAGGUGCUCGCCACGGCCCAAGCUCGCCUCAACGAGAAGAGCGAGCUGGUCUGCAGCUACCUCUCCCAGCUGCAGGCGCUGCGCACCAAGCUGGACGAGCAGACCAAGGCUGCGGAGGACGCGGCAGCGGCGUCGGUACGGCGGGAGAAGGAGCUCAACUCCGCCAAGGAGAAGAACGCCCAACUCGAGUCCGAGUUGGCCACCGCCCGGGAGGAGCUCGUCAAGUUGGGCGAGGACAACGUGGCCAAGGCCAUGGAGAUCUCGCGACAAGCUGACCUCCUCCGCCAAGCCAAGCAUGCUGUGGUGCUGGCACGCGGCAACCACGCCACGCUGGUGGAAUAGCGCCGGCGGGAAACCGUGAAGCUGCUCGGGAUCGCCCGAGCGGUGCGCGACCUGUUGCCGCGGUUCGAGCUGCAGGCCGCGCAGGUGGACGGGACGGACAUCAGCACGCUGAUCCCGUUUUUCUCCAACAUGGUGGGGAAGCUCGGGGCGCUCGAUGUGUGGAUCUCCAAGUUCUACGACGGGGAGAUUGCCACGUGCGCCAGGGAGAUCGCCGGGACGAUCCUUCCCCGGGUGCACCUCCGCCACCCGGACUUCCCCUUUGAGACGCUGCUGGACGCCUGGUCGGACAGCGAGGACGGCCAACUCACUGCCAGGCGGAGAGCAGGUUCGUCGAGGAGGUGGUGGAUCGGAUGCAGAGGAAGCCGGAGCCUAGGCCCGAGCCUGAGCCCUCGGCCGAAGGCGCCGGCAACUAGUCGCUGCAAUCCCCUGCCGGACCUCGUUUUAUCUUUGUGCCUUUGUUGUGUUUUUUAUAUCCCUACAAGUACCACGCUUGGCACCGUUCGAACAAUGAACGUUUUAUUAGUUCAUGUAAUCAUUCACUGCGUUUUAUAAAUUUCGUUCUCUAGUUCUAUUUGGUGCUUGUUUCCUCUUCCCCGGGUUGACUCGCGGGGUGGAUCCACUAGCCUUCAUGUGGUGUGUCUUGUGUUGCCGGGGACUCGCGCGCCACACACUUAACCGGACCAAGGACCCGGGACGGACCCGCAGUGCCGACCUGGGGUCAGGUAGCAGCGGCGAGCCACUCCGCCUGCGGGAUAGCUACUCCCAAGCAUGCGCUCACGGGACUGACCCGCAAGCCGCACGAGGAGCGCACUCCCCCCGCAGGCGUCCUUUCAACACCCCAGCCACACGUAGGACUCGUGCCACACCAGCGAGCCAACGUUAAGUGCCAGAAAGCUUGGAGACUAGGCUCAUGUACUUAGCUGUCCGUUCUCACGCUUGGAAUACUUGUUGGAGGGAUGCGGCAGGAACGCUGUGGCGAGGCCGCCGCCGGUGCCAAGCACGGGUGGCGGCGCCACCACAGCGUCUCCGCGGCAACCCUCGCCUUGGGAACGCUCUCUGGAGGGAUGCGGCAGGAACGCUGUGGCGAGGCCGCCGUCAGCGCCAAGCACUGAUGGCGGCUCCACCACAGCGUCUCCACGGCAGCCCUCGCCUCGGAACCACCCUCUGGGGGAAUGCGGCAAAGCCGCGAUGGCAGUGCACCCAUCGGCACUGAGCACUGAUGGCAUGUACCACCAUCGCGGCGCUGCGGCAGCCCCCGCCUUGGAGAUGACCGGUGAAGUGAUGUGGCAGGGAGGCGAUGGCGGGAACACCCCCGGCACUUGUGCGCGGAGAAAUGCUCCACCACCACUUCUCUACCGCAUCACUCACCAUCUUCUUAGCUCCGCUUUGGGUUGCUCCAUGGCCACCACGCCUUUUUAUAGGCGCGGUGGAGAAUCUCGCCACCAUGCGCGCCGAGUCGCUGCAGCACACGUGGCGGCACCCUCCCGCGUCAAAAUUCUUGAAACGCAGCAAGAGCCUUGCCACCAUGCGCGCCAAACCGUCGCAGCACACGUGGCGGCUCCCUCCUGCAACAGGAACCUCGAAGUGCGGUGAGAACCUUGAAGUGCGGUCGCUACGCACUACUGGGCACCACUAAAUGACACAGCCCGUGAGCGGUCCACGAGCAUUACAGUGCGCAACUCCGUCCUUGUCCUGCACGUCAGAUUCUUACCGAGCACAGGAUGCUGCAAAUGUUUUUCGAAAUACACGAAAAAAGACGCAACAUGGAUAGAGCACAGGUAACCCUCCUGCCUCCCAGCCCCCGGGCACAGAAGGGUCGAUGCCAAACUUGGGUGUGAGCACUAUUCCAUUCCCGGACGCAGCUUCUGCAUGAUGCGCAUUGUGGGGAGCCCGGCAACGGCAUGGCCCCAUGCCGGAGUAGUCCGGCAACGGGUUCUUCGUUUUCGAGGCUCCGGCAGCCCCCUGCUCACAACCAAGGAUGGAAAGAGACUUAUGUGCACCUAAAGGAGGAGACAAAAGGAGAAAAAACAUGCAAAUAAUCGAGGCAACUUGAAAUCCAGAGGAAAACACUUAUCUUUAUUCAUAGAAACUCGUGGUUUACAAUCGGGGGUUGCCCGGUUACACUAGUUCGAGAGGCAUGCUACCGAAGCAUCACCUGUGGGUCGGGCUCCGCCGCGUCACGGGUAGAACUUGCGCAAGUGCUCAAGGUUCCAACUGUUUCGCACCGGCAAGCCUUCUUCGGUUUCCAGUCGGACAACCCCUGGCCUGGUAACCUGCACUACCCGGAACGGGCCCUCCCAUUUCGGAGUUAGCUUGUUCUCGGCCUUCGUUCCUUGUAUCCGGCACAGGACAAGGUCUCCGGUCUCGAGCUCCCGGGGACGAACCCGCUUGUCGUGAUAACGGCGGAGUCCCUGCUGGUAGCGUGCAGCUCGCAUAGCAGCCCGGCAUCGAAGUUCUUCGAUGAAGUUUAGAUCGUCAACCCUCUGCUCGUGUUGGCUAUGGCUGCCGUACGCGCGUACCCGAGGGGAUCAAUGCUUGAGCUCGAGGGGCAGCACCGCUUCUGCCCUGUAGACAAGGGCGAAAGGAGUUUCACCCGUUGCCCGGCUAGGUGUGGUCCUGAUCGACCACAGCACGGGCUGGAGUUCUUCAAUCCAGUGCUUCCCGUGGCCUUUGAGCUUGUCAAAGGUUCGCGUCUUGAGCCCCUGCAAGACCUCUGCGUUGGCCCUCUCCGCUUGCCUGUUGCUCCUUGGCUGAGCAACAGACGCGAAGUAGAUCUUGGUGCCCAUGCCCUCGCAGUAGGCUUGGAAUGCUGCGCUUGUGAACUGUGUGCCGUUGUCGGUGAUGACGCCAUUAGGCACACCAAACCAGCACACGAUGCCUUUGAAGAACUUGACGGCCGCCUGGGCGGUCACCUUCUACCCACUUGGAGAACUUGUUGAUGGCCACGAGCAGAUACUCAUAGCCGCCAACUGCUCUCGGCAACUUGCCGACGAUAUCUAGCCCCCAGACCGCGAACGGCCAGGAGGAUGGAACGACUUGCAGGGCCUGCGCCGGCUGGUUGCUCUUCUUCGCGUGGAAUUGGCACGCGUCGCAUGUCUUGACCAGCUGCUCGGCAUCAGCUAGCGCCAUAGGCCAGGAGAAGCCGUGCCGGAACGCCUUGCCGGCCAGAGCCCGGGAGGCCAAAUGGUGAGAAUAUGUGCCUCGGUGUAUCUCCUCCAGCAGCGCACGCCCUUCGUCCUGGGGCACGCAGAGGAGCUUCACUCCGUUUGCACGCCUCCGGUAGAGAUUCCCAUCCACCAGGGCGUACAUCUUGGCUUGCCGGGCUACAUGCUCCGCAGCAACGUCAUCUUCCGGGAGGGCUUCUCCCUUCCGAUAGCGGGCGAUAUCCACCGCCCAAGGCGGGGUCUCCCUGCCCAUGCAUGCCACUAUAUCAGCGGCAUGGACCUGCGCUGCUGUGGGGUUUCCCUCGGUUGCCGAGGGGGGGGGGGUGACCGAAGGCGCAGUCUGCCUGUGCCAGAACACCCCCGCCGGAACCUUCCGGCGCUCCGCUGCCAACUUGGAUAGCUCGUCUGCCGUGAAGUUAUCCUUGCGCUUGACAUGCUCAAAUCGUAAACCCUAGAACUUGCGUUCCAGCUUGCGGACUUCAUCCACGUACGCUGUCAUCUGCGGCCAGUCGUAGUCCUUGUUGACCUGGUUGAUCACGAGUUGGGAAUCCCGCGAACAACCAGGCGCUUGAUAUCCAGGGCGAUCGCCGCCUGCAACCCGGCAAGCAACCCUUCGUACUCAGCCGUGUUGUUGGUGGAGUUGGGGAAGUCGAGCUGGAUGGCGAACUUCAGCUGAUCCCCCGUGGGCGACUCGAUGACGACUCCGGCACCAGCCCCCUGCAGGCCGAACGCGCCGUCAAAGUACAAGACCCAGUGGCCUUCGUCCAGCUUGCCGGGCAGGCUGGUCUCCGACUCUUCUUCUUCUACGCUCGUCGAAGUCCACUCUGCCACGAAAUCAGCCAAGGCCUCACUCUUGACGCUCUUGGUGUUGGUGAAGUGCAGAUCGAACUCCGAUAACUCCAUCCUCUACUUGGCCACCCUUCCGGUUGCUUCACGGUUGGUGAGGGCUCGCUCAAGGCAAAACCCCGACACUACCGUGACGCGGUGCGCCUGGAAGUAGUGGCGCAGCUUGCGUGAUGUAAGCAAAAUCCCCAACAAGAGCUUCUGCACCUGCAGGUACCGCCUGCGAGCAUCGCGCAGCACCGUGCUGACGAAGUACACCGGGUGCUGCACGAGCCGCUUGCGCGGCGCUGACGCUGCUGGCUCAGCGACGGUUCCCGGGUCCGAUGCGGCUGCCGAGGCUGGCUCAGCCCCCUGCCUCACAAGUCCGGUCCCCGGGAGUUCUCUUCUCUCUCGGCAACCAGCACCGAGCUAACCACUUGGUCAGUCGCCGCCAGGUAGCGUAGCAGCGGCUCGCCCGGCUUGGGGGUGGCGAGGAUGGGCGGCGACUUCAGGUACUGCUUGAGAUUCUGGAACGCUGCCUCAGCCUCGGGGGUCCAAUCGAUCGGGCUCUUCUUCUUCAUUAUCUUGAAGAAAGGAAGGAGGCGUUCACCCAGCCUUGAGAUGAAACGCCCCAACGUGGCCACGCAGCCAUUGAGGCGAUGCACGUCCUUCACCUUGCGGGGAGCCUCCAUCUUCUCGAUAGUUUCUAUCUUCUUUGGGUUGGCUUAAAUCCCCCUGUGUGAAACCAAGAAACUUAGAAGCUGACCCAAGUCCACACCGAAGGUGCAUUUCUCAGGGUUCAGCUUGAGCUUGAUCCUGCGGAGGUUAUCAAACGUUUCCCGCAGGUCAUCAAUCAGCGAGUCCCCGCGCUUCGAUUCAAUGACAAUAUCGUCCAUGUAGGCCUCUAUAUUUCGGCCUAGCUGGGGGUCCCAAACACUCGCGUAAUGCACGCUGGAAUGUUGAGCCCGCGUUCUUCAACCCGAAAGGCAUGCAUGUAUAGCAGUAGCAGCCAACUGGCGUGAUGAACGCCGUUUUCUCCUCGUCCUCGACUGCCAUCUUAAUUUGAUGUUAGCCGGAAAAAGCAUCCAAGAAACACAGCAAAUCGCAACCGGCAGUGGAAUCUACUAUUUGAUCAAUGCGAGGUAUAGGGAAAGGAUCUUUCAGGCAGGCACGGUUAAGAUUAGUAAAAUCUACACACAUGCGAAGUUUAUUAUCCCCCUUGGGUACUACUACAGGAUUAGCUAACCAAGUGGGGUACAGUACUUCCCUGAUAGCCCCCACAGUUUUGAGCUUGUCCACUUCUUGCUUGAUGAAAUCUUUGCGCUCCUGUGCUUGCCGGCGGAUCUUCUGCUUAACAGGGCGGGCGUCUGGACGCAUCGCGAGUCGAUGCUCGAUCAACUCCCUAGGGACUCCGGGAAGGUCCGACGGCUCCCAAGCGAACACGUCGGCAUUCUCCCGGAGGAAACUAAUGAGUGCGCUUUCCUAUUUGGCAGUGAGGUGUGCACCGACGGUGACGGUGCGCUCCUCAUUGCCGGCUUGGAAGGGCAGCUUCUUCAUCAUGGCAGCCUCCUCCUUGAGCUUCUGGCCCAUGCUGGGGCGUGAUCUCGAGCCUGCUCCUCCCUCGGCAAGCCCUUGCGGGGUAGCACGGGCCUUCUUCGCUGCGGGGCCGUCGCCCGGCAGCGUGCCAUCACUCCCGGCAACGUCUUCGUCACCAAAGUCGGCCAUGGCGGCGGCCUUGGCGACCUCGCCUACACACCAGGCUGCGUCCUUGAGAUCGCACCUGAUGGAGAGGACUCCAUACGUGGACGGCAUCUUCAUCACGCCGUAGGCACAAUGAGUCGCCGCCAUGAACUUGAUCAGCGCCGGCCGACCAAGGAUCCCAUUGUAGGGCAACGGGGUAUGCGCCACGUCGAACACAAGGUGCUCGGUCCUGAACGCUUCCCGGGACCCGAAGGUCACCGGCAGCGUGAUGCGCCCCAAGGGGCGCACAAUCCCGGGAUUCACUCCCCAGAACGGGUCAGUGGGCUUCAACUGCUCCAGCGGCAGCUAAAGUUUCUCCACUAACUUGGCGGACAGGAGGUUCAACCCCGCUCGAUUGUCCACCAGCACCUUAGUCACCGUCAUUUUGUUGAUGAUUGGCGAGACCAUGAAGGGCAAAACCCCUGAACCCAGCUGCCUGGCUGGGUGAUCGUCGGCGCUAAAGGUGAUCGGCACGUGCGACCACUUCAGCGGUUGCUGCGCCUCUGCGUCCGGCAAUAGCGCACACACCUCUCGGGUGAGGCGCUUCACCGCGGCAUGAUAUGGGAGAGCGCAAGCUCCCCCAUGGAUGCAGGCGACGCCGCGAGGCUCCUGGAAGCCGGGCUCAUCGCCCUCGCUGCAGUCGGACUCACGCUGCUCCUCAGCGCGAGCCUUGUCUCGUCCCCAGGGAGGGCGCUCCCUGCCAGCGCGGGCCUGGCCGCGUCCCCCUGGCUGCCGGCAGGCUUCGGGCCCGCUCUGGGGUCGUUUGGUCAAUUUCGGGAGAGAUGCCCGAUGUCACCGCAGUUGAAGCAGACGCCGGCUGCUCGGCACUCCUCGUGGCGCUGCUCGCGCCUCUGCUUGAUACCCUGCAGGAUGCGGCAAUCCUGCGCGUCGUGGGUAACGUUGGCGUGGAUGGUGCAGCAGGGCACGUCGCCCGGCUUGGCACCUGGUCCGCCGCCAGGCAAGGCCUUCUUCGCAGGCCUUGGGGCAGCCCUCGACUCCGCGGCGAGCACUUGCUUCCCGCCGCGCUUGCGGGAGCUCUUCUUCUACGAGCCCUCAGCGGGGCUCGCGGCAGCCUUAGCUGCAAGCUCGGGCGCCAGGCGCCCUUCCUCGGCCAUGGCACACUUGUGCGCCAGGGCGUAGAGAUCCUAUGUCGUCCGGAUCCGAUGCGUGCUCAGCUUCUCCCGCAUCUUGGGGUCGCGGACGUUGAUGGUGAAGGUGUUGAUGAUGGCGGCCGCCUCCGCCUCUGGGAUGGAGUAGGAGAGACUAGAGAAGCGGUUGACGAAGUUCCGCAGCGUCUCUCCCGGCUUCUGCACCACGGUGUGCAGCUUCGCCAUGGUCCCCGGGCGCUUGUAACCACCCUGGAACGCGCUCACGAACUGCUCGCGCAUGUCCGUCCAAGUGGCUAUGGACCCGGCAGGCAGGUUGAGCAGCCAAGUUCUCGCUGAUCCCUUAAGGACCAUCGGGAACCAGUUAGCCCUGACCUUGUCGUCGGUGCCGAUGGCGUGCAUCCCCAACGUGUAGGUCAGGAGGAAAUCCUUGGGGUUUACGGAUCCGUCGUACGUUCCAAGCGCGGGCGCUCGGAACUUGCGGGGCCACGUCACCCGGCGCAACUUGCAGGUGAACGCAAUGCAGCCGUCCUCGGGCCCAUAGGAGCAUCCUCCUGCUCCUGCGGGUCUUGGCGCUCUGCCGCGCGUCGACGCCGAUGCUCCAAGCGCUGGUGGAGAUCCUCUUGCUGGCGGGCGUUCAAGACACCGCGCACGUCACCCCUUGUGACGGUUGGUGACGAAUCCGAGGACCCCUCAGGAUCCCCGCCUCCUUGCCCUCCCUGCGGGGGAGGGUUUUCUCCCUGCCCCGAGGCGCGGGGCACGUCUUCGCAUCCCGAGUUCUGCCUGCGGCGUGAGCCAGCCGGUGCGCCCUCGCCUUGUGGCUGUUGGGCGGCGAGUGCAAGGAGCGCCUCCAGCUCCGCACUCCAAGCCUCGUGCGUCGGCUUCCCCUGUGGCGGCUCGUAGCGCACCAUGACACGCGCGACGAUGAUAGCCUCUGCUGGGGUCUGGGCAAGAGGCUGCCCAUUCUCGGAGCGGCUGCCCUCCGCCCUGUCCCCCGGCGCCCUCGGGUGAGUGGGGCGCGAAUCAGUCGGCGUCGCUCGUGAUGCGCCGUGCUCCUGGCGCAGCUGCGGCUGCGCGUUGUCAGCCCGUGAGAGAGCUCGCUGACCGGCGCGUGCGGCAUUGUAGCCGCUCACGCGACUGGCCCCAGCGCUGGGGGCCGGCUCAGCCGGUUAUCCGCCGACGGCCGGGGUGGGGGGAGUGGCGGUGGGGGCAGCUGCGACUGCGGCUGCUGCACCCGGGCAGGCUCAGGAUAACCCUGAUCCUGCGACGUGCGCUGCACGUCGUGCGAUCGCAUGUGAGCCGCUGGGGCACCACGCGGGUCGAUCCUAAAGUCACCAGCCCGCUUGGGUGGCAUGAUGGCUGGUUCGACUGUCGUGGAAGAUGGAGCCGGUGCAGCUGUGGACGACGGCGCCGGUGAUCACCGGCGAGCUCUCCUCACGCGCCCCCUACCUGGUGCGCCAGAUGUCGUAGCGCUGGGCUCCGACACCGGGGAUGCGCGGGCACCCCCUUUCAGGUUCCGCAGGGGGCGGCGGGGAUCUCUCCGGCGAUCGCCGGCGGGGCCAACGUCAGGCGUUGGAGGACAGUGUACACAGGAACGCUUUUACCCAGGUUCGGGCCACCCUGAGGUGUAAAACCCUACAUCCUGCCUCUGAGUUUGUUAUUAGCCAAUGAACUAGGGUUAACAGGUUGCCGGGGGGAGUUCCCGGGUACUCUCUCUUUCUAGCCUCAGUGCUACUUGCUACUUCUCGCUACUACUAGUAGUGGACUGAGAACCGAUCCAAUCCCUUGACCGUUGGCGGGGGUCCUCCUUUUAUACCGAAGGGGAUACCACAGGUGCCUUGGUGCAUGGGCUCCAAAUGGCGAACGGAGAACUAGGGCAGC
rnacentral:lncRNA from 1 species